rnacentral:rRNA from 1 species
UACGUAGGGUGCGAGCGUUGCCCGGAUUUAUUGGGCGUAAAGGGCGCGUAGGCGGCCACGCACGUCCGUUGUGAAAUCGCCCGGCUCAACUGGGCGGGGUCAGCGGAUACGGUGUGGCUCGAGCAAGCUAGGGGGCAAUGGAAUUCCCGGUGUAGUGGUGGAAUGCGUAGAUAUCGGGGAGGAACACCAGUGGCGAAGGCGGUUGCCUGGAGCUUUGCUGACGCUGAUGCGCGAAA